GGAGGCUGCGAGGAAAGGAGAUAGCUCUGAAACAGCAUCGGAAACUACUGUACCGCUAGUGAAGGCAUAGCUUAUGGCAUGCCGCAGUAAGAGCACAAUAACAGCCAAGAUCACAGAGAUGAGUAGCGAGCAUAAAUUUACUAUUAUAACAGAAAAUGAUGUUGGUCUGGGAUGUCCAGCACCCAACUCGUUGCUUACUCUCACGCUGUAACUAACAAUAGAAAAGGAUAGAAAAAAUAAUUGUCAUUAUUUAUGUUAAUUUUAGUUGUUUAUAUAUAAAAGACAAUAAACUAUCUUGGGAUUAUAAAUUGGGUCCCAACAAAAUAAAAAGUAGAGGAGGGUUAGGAAUAGGAUGGGUUACUGCAUAAAAAUAAAGCCCUUUCAUUUAAAUGGCUUUAGAGACUGUCGUCAAGAAACCAAGAUGGUUGGGAAGACUUGAUCAACAACAAGUACAAUCCAACUGUUCAAAAUAGUAUGCCUUACUAGGCAUCUAUCUUCUAGUUCAUCAGAAUAGUUAGCUGGUGGGGAUUUUCAUGGUGCAUGCCUCUUUUCUUGGAUGAUUUGUUUCAUCAAUGACAAGGAAUGAUUAAAGAAAAGUUCCAGUGAAAGGUUUGGCAAGGAUUUUUCUAUAUAAUAGUAUGGAUUAUCUGGCAUACUAGGAACAAACUCAUAUUUGAUGCAAUUACACGAGAUUCAGAAUAAGUUUUUUUGCUUUUUAUUUCACAAUGCUGUAUCUUGGAUUCGUUCUUAUAAUCCUAGUUUUGUUUAUUCUAGUAUGGAUUUGUUAAGAAAUAGAGAUUGUGUAGUAGAUUGGAGUAAUUAGUACUUGUAUAUCUUGUUAUGCUACCAUAAAUUGUUGAAAGCAGAAGAACACAGAACUUGUCACAUUUUACUUGUAAUUUGAAGACAGAUUGAGUCACGGAUGAGAAGGCAACCAGACCAAAAUAUUUUCCAGAAAAAUGGCAGGAAAGUCGAUUCAAAGGCAGAAAAAAGAGGGAACGGUGUGCUAUGCAGCAGCUAUAAUGCUUUUCACCAGGGCUGAGAUUACGUGCCGAAAAAUCCCUAUGAAAGAAAAGGAUUCAACUCAUCAAAUCAAGGGAUUAAAAAUGUAUGUUGCAGCAUUCGCAACCCAGGACUGACUAAACUAAGGGACGGACAACAAUAACAAAUAAGUUUGAACGAAAGAAUAAAGCAGAGGAAAGUCAUUCUCCACCAUGCUCACGCCAAUCUGUGCUCCGAAUCUAAAUUUGCUUUCUUUUAGCUCUAAGAAUGAUCUUUAACUCAUUAAACUAUCUCCCCUUUCAAUCUUUAAACUAUCUCCCCAUAUAGUUUUCUCUGAAUAAGUGUUGAUGGUCACCGAAGAAAAGCAUGCACAUAACUUCAUAGGGUUAAGUAAAUCACUCUUCAAACAAUGGCCAACAUAUAAUUGAUUGGUAAACCCAAAUUACAUUGCAAAUGUUGAGCAUUAACAACCAGCACACAGGGGCCUACACAAUGUUUUACACUGAAACCAUGAGAAGCAUGCCUAACAAAAUAUCUACGAGGAAAAUCUGGACCAAAUUUCCAUUUGGCAUCACCAUUUAGUUAUUAGAACUGAAGCAAUGAAGCAGAGCAGGAAAAACGCACACUGAGACAAUUAUAAACCACCCAAAACACAGAAUAUCAAAGAAAAAUUAUCCGAGGCAAACAAUUUACUAAGAAACAAACCAUAAGCAUCAAACAAUUGAUAUUCCAUGCUCAAGCAAAAAGAAUUAAUGGGUGUGGGGGAGGGGAAAACUGGUUAGCAGGCAUUUGAAACUGUAGGCAACAAACAAUGGCAGCUCAAUAACCAACGCAACAACAAGCAUUCUAAAAAGGAUAGCAAAACAUGAAAACCCAGAAAAAUCAAUUCCUUGUAUAUAGGCUAGAAUCGUUCUGUUUUUUAUAUUUUGCUUUCCUGUAUAUGUUUCUCUUGUAUGUAUUCAAUACAUGCCAAAGUAAAUUCACAAGCGAAGAUUUCAAAUC